rnacentral:lncRNA from 1 species
GCUUGCAGGUCCAAACCACUGGUAGCAGCCCCUGGUAUAUCCAGGACAUCAGCACAUAGAACCAGUGAAAGGGUCCUCCCUCAUAGUGACGCAUGUCAUAGACUCAGAUUUAUACAAACAAAUGCUGAGCAAACCAUGAAGAGUCUCUGGUAUUUUCAACAAUAUCAUCACAGAGGAACUGUAUUGAUUUCCUUGCACGUUCAGGGUACUGGGAGAGGCAACAGGGAUGGAGGUCCCAUGUCAGGGGACUUCACAGUGUGACGGGAAUGUUCAACCUGCACCUGUUCCUUGCACCAUACUCCAUCCAGCUCUCCGCUCUUCCAGUCAUUUAUGCUCCUGUCUUCCGUGGAGGAAGUCUGGUAGUAUCUCCCCGGGACACUGGCUCAAAUUUCCAGCCACCUGCCCAAGACAGAUGGGACCAGGGGCCAGAUGAUGUGGACAAUGAUGAUGUCACAAAGAGAAGUAAGAAAUAAAGGAGGCAACUUAGUGGGAAAGGUGAUGUUCUGGGUUCUGAAGAAGAUGAGAGAUACCAGGCCAGGCUGUGCUUUGCCUCUUGGCCUAUUUUCCUUCCUGACUUUUUUCAGCCACAGUGAGUCUCUGAGACCUAGUUUUGGCAGAAGGAAGUACCAGAGGGAGCUGAGCUGUUGAACAUUAUGUGCGAUCAUGUAAUAACUGCAAUCGGAAGGGAAACACUCAGAGUCCUGGAGA